UAGUUCUGAUCCAAUUGGAGUUCAGGAUGGCUCAUUUGCCUAUAGCUACCUCAUUGAAGAGCUAGGUGUUUUAGAAUCACGACUCCGUAUAUUGAAAACAGAAGAUGAAUAUACCAGUGCCCUGGAGAAAGGUCCACAAGGUGGUGGCGUUGCUGGCAUUGUGGACGAGCUUCCUUAUGUUGAGCUCUUCUUAUCCAACAGCAAUUGCGUAUUCAGGACAGUAGGACAGGAGUUCACGAAAGGCGGAUGGGGCUUUGCAUUUCAAA
rnacentral:misc_RNA from 1 species